GCCCGGACCCUGUCGCAC
rnacentral:snRNA from 1 species